UCCUCUCUUCUCGGCGCGGACGGGAUUCCAGUGGCACGUGCGCCCUAGGGAGGGGACGCGGGGAGCGACGGUUGGGCCGGGCUCUGAUCGGGGUCCGGGGAGGGGCCUGGGCCGGGGCAGCCCCGUUAGGGCCCGGCGUCCUCCGUCGCCCCGGAGCCCCGUUUCCCCCGGGCUGUUCAUUCAGGUCGCCGGAGCCGCUGUUUCCUCUGGGCGCCCCCAUCCCCUCCUCACCGUCCUCGUCCCCGUGCUCCGUGGGAUUUGCCCCAGGGGCUUUUAGCCUCGUCUGGAGGCGUUGUUUGGGUUGUUACAAUUGGGGGCGCCUGGCACCUGGAGGGUGGAGGCCGAGGAUGCUGCUCCGCAUCCUCCACGGCACAGGACAGCCCACGACGCAGAAUUAUCCGGCCCAAAUGUCAGCAGUGCCGAGGGUGGGAAACGCUGCCCCAGGGCCUUAGACUCUCCCAAGCCCUGAACGGACUGUGGAAAGGGGCCUUUAUUAAUUCAAGACUGAGGGGUUUGCCAGGACACAGGCCUUACAGGGCCCCUAAGUGACAAGUUUGUUUAAAGGGUCUGGAGUCACCAAAAACUCUCUGUCCAGCCGAGUGAGACAAGGACAGCAUCCAUGGAGCUCAAGUUUGAGUUGAAACCAGGCUCAAGGUCCGCCUGUCCUCACUGAUGGUGGAUUUCUGUGUGACCAGGUCACUGAGCUCUACAGAGGCAGCCAGCUACGAGACAUAUUCCACUCAUGCCUGGUAACCCACUUGACGUCUUCGGGGGAUGGGAAAAGUAUUAACCUCCUGAGGCCACCAACCUGCAGCAUCCACCACCUUCUUCUCUUCCGGACACUUUCAACAAAUUUCACCCAAUAAUGACAUUGACCAUGGCCAAGCUCCCUGCUGAGCACUUUCGUGCAAGAUCAUCUCAUUUCAUUUUCACAGCUUCCCCCAGGAGAAGUGGAGCCAUCAUUUCAUCUACCAACAGACAAGCCAACAAGCAGUCCCAGCCCCCAGCACUUCCAGCUGAAUUUCACUGGCACCAGCCUACUCUGUUCCCAGGACAUCGGCCAGCCAGGCCCCACCAAACACCAGCGGAGCAAGAGAAGCAUUAGGGAUGCGCCCCCCAGUACCUAGUUGUAUAUUCUAAUUGGGAGUGCCUCUGGUUGUGCUAUGUGGGAU